AAUUUCAGCUAAAAAAGUCAUGAACAUAAAAGUUGUAGAGCUCAUCAAGACAUACAACUUUUAUUUUGGUCAUUUCUUCAUCCGAUAAAGUGAUAGUAACAUUGUUCACAAAGUUUACAUAUCUCUCUUAUAGUUUAUAGAACUAGAUGAGACAAAUGUAAAUUUUGUAAACAAUGUUACUAUCACUUCGUCGGAUGAAGAAACGACCAAAAUAAAAGUUAUAGAUCUUGAUGAGUUAUACAACUUCGUUGUUGAUGAAUUUUUCAAUUGAAAUC
rfam:Oryza barthii chromosome 11, whole genome shotgun sequence.